AACGAACGCUGGCGGCAUGCCUAACACAUGCAAGUCGAACGAGACCUUCGGGUCUAGUGGCGCACGGGUGCGUAACGCGUGGGAACCUGCCCUUAGGUUCGGAAUAACUCCCCGAAAGGGGUGCUAAUACCGGAUAAUGUCUUCGGACCAAAGAUUUAUCGCCUUUGGAUGGGCCCGCGUUGGAUUAGCUAGUUGGUAGGGUAAAAGCCUACCAAGGCGACGAUCCAUAGCUGGUCUGAGAGGAUGAUCAGCCACACUGGGACUGAGACACGGCCCAGACUCCUACGGGCGGCAGCAGUGGGGAAUAUGGGACAAUGGGCGAAAGCCUGAUCCAGCAAUGCCGCGUGAGUGAUGAAGGCCUUAGGGUUGUAAAGCUCUUUUACCCGGGAUGAUAAUGACAGGACCGGGAGAAUAAGCUCCGGCUAACUCCGU
rnacentral:rRNA from 1 species